rnacentral:rRNA from 1 species
UACGUAGGGGGCAAGCGUUAUCCGGAUUUACUGGGUGUAAAGGGAGCGUAGACGGCUGUGCAAGCCAGAUGUGAAAGCCCGGGGCUCGACCCCGGGACUGCAUUUGGAACUGUGUAGCUGGAGUGUCGGAGAGGCAGGCGGAAUUCCUAGUGUAGCGGUGAAAUGCGUAGAUAUUAGGAGGAACACCAGUGGCGAAGGCGGCCUGCUGGACGAUGACUGACGUUGAGGCUCGAAAGCGUGGGGAGCAAACAGG